ACGGAGAGACAGACGGACAGGCCUGGCGAGAGUGAAAAGUUGAAACAGAGAAACACGUUUCAUUCGGUAGUCCCUUCCUUCCCUAAACACCAUGGAGAUGCCCGUGGCUCCUCCGGUAAGGGAGGAACGAAGGAAGCCGUUGAACCGGCCUGCUAUCGGCGAACAAGAAUAACAAGAAGACGGAGAAGAAUAAGUCAAGCUUAACAGGAAGAGCCGGGAGAGCCGCAUUUUUGCCGGGCAAGUCAGGUUGACGUCCCGGCCGGAAGAACGAGAUCGCGGCGGAAUCAGGAAGGCCAUCGGGGUAAGGCGGCGGCGGCGUGGCGGCGCGUGUUUGUCCGCCUCGGGUGUACGCUCGACCGCGAAGCGACGCGGCGCGGUUCCGUCGCGCGCGGACAACGCCGAAGGAGAGGUUGAAUAGCAGGUUCGAUGGUUGAUUCAGUUAUCACGUGGCCGUGCAUGCCCGGUCUCCGUCUGGCCGGGAAUCCGUUCGGAUGUUGGCCAAACCAGUCGGACACCACGAAUUCUACAUCUUCAGCGCGCCGCCGUGCCGCGUCCAGGUGGAUAGUUAGCGAAACCAGUUGGUUCCCUCUUCUCUCCUGGCUCGUUCAUCUCCUCCUACUACCUCCGCUCCGACGCCGCGGCGCGGUGCGGCGCGGCGCGGCGCUUGAAGGAGGGCAGCAGCCACGUAAAACUGGAAUUCAGCUCGCGACCGCUACCGACUGACGGAUAGACAGGUGUAAUAAUAGACGUAACCAGCAGGCCGGACCAUCGAGAACGAACGUUCCGCGACGGACAACUUUUGCAGAACGGUUUUCCACCGGCGCGCACCUAGAGAGGUGUCCCCUGUUCGGCGCUGGACUCUGCGGAACGGAAUGAUCGAGGAGUACGAUCAUCGCGAAGCAAGGGAGGUAAACCGGAAAGCAAGAGGAAGAUCAUCGAGAACGAACAUUCCGUAGCUGGUUCACGGUCCGAGUGUACUUCUCCGCCAUUGGAUUCCGAUGAACUAUCGCAGUUCCGUCUGCUAAUCAAAAGCAAGACCUCGAGGAAUGCUCGACGGACAGAAGAUGAGCCACGGGAGCAAGAGAAAAACCAUCGAGAACGAACGUAUCACGGGUCUGGAUGUCCCCUAUUCGUCGUUGGAUCCUGGUGGACGACGAUCGUCUUUCUUCGAACCACGAAGUACGAGAUAAGCUAGGUGAACCGGAGAGCUAGGUCGAGACAUUCCACAGCUAUUUCACGCGUAGGCGUGCCCCGCUCAUCGUUGGAUUCUGGUGAAUGAUCAUCGUUCGAUCUGGCAAGCGAGAUAAGACCUCGAAGAAUGUGGAAGACGAGCCGAGUGUGCCGAAGUGGAGCCAAAGUACAAGAGGGAGGAGAUCAAGCUAGCCAGAGGGCAGUAUCACCGGUAUCUUUUGGUGACCGUUGGACUCCGAUGAGAGCGACCAGCUUUGUCUUCGGUAAUCGAAGUGCAAGGAAGGCAACGAAGAGGUGCGAGAUGAACUAGACCCGCAGAAGGUGAGCCAGAGAGCAAGAGAGAAAGAGAGAGAGAGAGAAAGAGAAAGAGAGAGAGAGAGAGGGAGAAGAAGCUGCUGAAGAGGGUGGCGGGAAGUAGGUAGGUAGCCUACCUACUACGCGGAAGAAGGAGAUUGGGGCGACUGGGGAGAAGGAGUAGGUACACCAAGCCGGUAUACAACCGCGGACCGGAGACGAGAAGCCAGAGGAGCAGGUUCGGCCGGUCUAACCUGAUUCUCAAAGGGAACCCUGCAUCAGAUUGGACCCACCUCCGUGGGUCCGUUUGUAUUUCAAGUACCUGUACUCCCUCGCGUCGCGUCAGUGGUCGAUGCCUCCGGAGACGGAGGACUCGCCGAGCGAAGAGGAACGAGAGAGCCUCUCCUCGGCAGCCUCGAAUGAUCAUCAGCGAACAAACUGUCCUGUUCCGCGGCUCUGACAGAGCAGCCACCGCGUGCGACGACACCCGCGGUGACCGUAGCGCGGACCUGAUCGCCGGACCAGGUCGCCCAGUGAUCAUCCUCAGUGAUUUCGAUAGUGAUUGUCAAGAGACACCAGUGCAAGUUCUAGCCUCCCUUUUUCUUUGGGGUCGGGGAAGGGCCCGUCGGAUCUACCGCAGCGAGUCCAAGUCGAUUCGAGGCUGUUGCUCGUUUCGCGGAUACACCUUUGUCUCUCGUUCCCGACUCCUCCGGCUUGGAGUCGAAGACGAGCCUCGUCCGAGCUACCUGAGGCCUCGCGGAGGCGGUGUCCUCCGGUUCAGUGAUCCGGGAGUGAGAAUCAGUGGCGAGUUUCGGUUGUGGGAAAGAUCCUUGGUUUCCGAACCAAGGCGCUCUACGUGGGCUAAGCGAUUAGCACGUGUCUCUCGGAGAAAGAGAGAUAAAAUUUGCCCAGAUCAAGAAAUUGCGAAGAAAUGGUAGCAAUACGGCUGACAAACACGUUAGCGGGAGGCAGAGAGUUCAACGCGUGGCUAGACAAGGCUGUCGAAGUCUGCGCGGAGAUUCGGGCUGGGUCUUAGCUCCUGUGCAGGCGUUGAAGUCACCAUAAGCCCGGUUAGGCGCGCUCGUGUUCGCCGUAGAACGGCCGGUCGACCGGUUCACGCGUUUCAUUCAGAGAGACAGACGUCAAUGUUGCAUCUAUUCACGUAUACAGCCACAAUACAUCAUAGGCUACCUGUUCCCGAUGAAAGACCGGUCACCGGUCGGUCUUGCCCGCGUUUUCAAAGUAAACAGAACCCACUUAUAUAAGGAACGGCCGGGAGACGAGUCGACGAAAGACGGACAGAGACGCGCGGACGAGCGAACAGUAAAACAAUUCGUCGUUCAAUAAAGGGGAAGUGCUAAAAACGAUUUUACAACGAGCGCUCACGGCCGAAGAAAGAAUGAUUGUUAACGCCCGGACCUGCGAAGUGGGAUUAGCGAUUCUUUUCUCGGAACCCGGGCCGCUUCUCUUUUUCUGUUUGCGUUUAUGAUGCGUAGAACACCGUGAUUUGCAUAAAUCGACGCGAUGAUUUUAGCGGGACACGCUGCCAGCUACGCGACGUCUAAACGAUCCGCCGUUCUCGCGUGUUUCGGGCAUGAAUGUGCCGCUUGUGCCGUCUUAAACAAAUUCUGAUCCUCGGGGUUCACGCAGAGGUUCUUAACCUUGGCAAUCGACCGCUUUAAAAUAUCAAACAUCAUGCUUGCGCGUUCUUCUCGAAGGUCAAUCCGUAAAAAUCGAAAGUUCUUUCGAAGACACUGCUAUCUUCUAAAUAAUAUUUCAAACUGAUUUUUAGACCGCGAAAACGAGCGAGGUACCUGUUAUGGAACACCGCUCGAUCGUGACCCCUUUCUUGAAACAUUAGCACAAAUAAUACAAUAACAGAUACAGCGUACGAAAAUGGAUGUAAAUUUUCUAUUCAUAUCCUUGAACAUUGUUCUUCGUAAAUUCACUCGCAUCAAUACUGUUUACGUAAUAAUCUACAGCAGAAAAAAAUGUUCGCUCGAAUACGCGUGUUUCUAAACAAGGACAUACUGUUCCAUAUUGUGUUCAGUGUCUUCAUAUUCAGUGUCACUAUUUUUGAACGGGUACAUCAAAUUGAAAUUGAAUAUGGACAUUGAAUAUGGAUCACGGGGACACGGUACGAAACGGUGUUCCAUAAUAGGUACGCGCAUGAUACUUUACCAGUUUAUUCGUAUUAUUUUUUACUUUUAUACGGUCUGAAAAGCGCUCCAUAAUGGGUACCUUUUUGUUACGUGGAACAGCAAGAACAUCGGAAGACUCCAAGAAUGUCGAAUCUAUUAUUUUCGACUUAUUGAAAUUGUGAAAGCAAACUAGACAUUUCUGUCCGUUUUCUUACAGAACAUUUUUAUUUUGCUCGAUUACCGUUCAUUACGGUGUUCUUUGCAGAUCGAAUUGAAAUACUCUAUAAAUUAGCGCUAGAUAAAUCACUUCAACUCAAUUUUCGCCCGAAGGUUCCUGCGAAAUGUUCGUUUUGCUUUUUACUAAAUAAUCUCCGCGAACGUGCAAUUCCGUCAAAGAUCCACAGGAUGCUCAUUAGUGUUUUUCGUUUUUCCUUUUUUUUUGCGACCGGUGGGGAAAAGAGUAAAAAGUAAUUUAUUUCUCGCCUAGCAGUGCGCGCCUGGAUCGCGCGCUCGCGCGGAACUUUCACCACGUUUGCAGCGGCGCGCCGGUGCGUGCGCGCGCCGCGUUUAAAAAAUGAUUAUCACCGUUUACCAUUAAUUGCGAGUCCGCGAGAAAUGAAACGGAAUCGAAAAAUCCUUCCCGGGCAAUUACAGGUCCGGCGACUUCGGACUCGUUGGUCGCGUUUCGUGUCGCUGGGCGCCUAUCGACGCCGAGCUUGGUGCUCCAGCUUCGAGAUUGUCGGCAGGAAACGCGAGCGGCGGCGUCGUGAUAACGGUAUCGAAAGUGUUACGCAUACGAGCGGCGAGGCUGGCUCGCGAGGUUAUCGGUGGUUAGACGCUCGGCCUGCGAGCGGACCGCGAUCAGGACGAGCAGCAACCUCUAAUUUACGUCACGAAGCCGCGCUAAUCGGCGCGCGGUCGGAAAAUUUAUUUUCGCGGGACGUCCGCCGGCCUCCGGGGCCGAGUCAAGGCCCGGUCCUUAUCACUUCGUGUCACGGAAGCCGUGUCACGAUUACUCUCGAACCAGCCGCAUCGGUUCACCACUGCGGUGCUUCGAUUAGGCGACCCGGUCGCCACGAGAUGUGUUCAUCAGCGAACGCGAACGGCAGAAAUCCGCUCCAAAAUACACGGCCGUUAUCGAGCAGUUUUUAACCCGAUCGCAUUUUUAUUUUCUUGGAACGACGGGUCAUUUUUCUAUCAUUCAAAUAUUACUCGAUAAUAGUUACUUCGUUCAUCCGCUACUGGGCAAUCAUAUUCGCGUUCGUAUGUAUUUUAAAAGUAAUCAUCAUUACUAAACUAAUCAUUCGUUCAAUACAUGCAAAGAAAUGAUGCACACGUUUGAUUGUGGAAAGAAUAUUUCGUAUAAAUACAUUCACGUAUACUAAUCUGCUUGGAGAGACUACUCUAUUUUAAUUAUCUACUUGCACAAUUAGUCGCUAGCAAGACAUUCAAGUUACACAAGUCGAUUUUGAUGAAACUUUUGUUAGAUAUAGGACCUACGAAAAUAUUUCACAUGCACAAUAUAUUUUGUAAAGCGACUAUGAUUCACAUUAGAGAAUAAAAACAAACAUUGAAUCCU